GUUCCUUUCAUCCUUAGUAGUAUCUGUUAUCCAAAGAAUGGUUGGCUGUUCUUAGGCGUGGUGCUUUUUCGUAAAAAAUUCAGAAUAUAAAUCCCAGGGUAUAUUUGUGCGUUAAAUUAUUUUGCUUGUCGAAAUGCUGUAUUCUUGGCAAGUAAAAUUUCACGUAGCAGUCUAGUCAACUCAAAGACAUUAUGAAAGCAUGAAACUCAUGGCUCUCACAGGUUGUAGUAGAACUAAAUAACAGAUCAUUGAUUAGCCCUAUUCAGGAGCAUCCUUCUUUGUGACUUAACGCCAUCACUUUCCACAAUGCUCCAGGAAAGUGACCUGAUUAUAUAAAUGUAUAAUUUACACAAAUCUUUUCAGAACCCACAUUCCCAUUUUAAAGCUUGUCUAAAAAUGCUUUUGACUGAAGUGUUUCUAUAACUAAAUAAAUGUUUAAUCAAAAGCUUCAUAUACUCUUGAUUUGCACGUCUUGUCGAGUUUGAGGAUUAAACAUUUGAUGUAGGCCACUCUGAUUAAGCAAUCAGCUGUUAUUUUAACUGAUUUUGGUAGUAGUUUAGGCUAAUCUGUUUUGGAUGAUAUUCAUCUCCUCUUGUUCAGCGGUACAAACUUCAGCAUCAUGUGGUGAGCUGACACAGUUUAACGCUCACCACAAAAAGAAGAAAGACCUGCCCCACUCUCAGACCUGGUAAAGGCUAUGCGGAUAUGUCAUCCUCAUUCAACUUUUUUUUGCAUGAAGGAGAAAAAUUAAAAUGAGAGGUAGACAGGAUAAGGAAAGGACGCAUAGUUGAGAGAAAGAUUUCUGUAGUUGGCCAGUCAUCCGUACAGAGCCAUGGCUCCAUGUUUAAGUGCUGCUCCCACCGUCGCCCCCUGGGGGGAUAUGGGUGUACUGUGCCUCUUGGAGUUUUGAUGAAAUGGCUACUGACAUGCUUUGUGCACAAUGCCCUGGAAGCCAACUGAGUUGAGAUAUAGAGGGAGAGAGAGAGAGAGAGAGAUCACAGCACAACAGAGUCUUUGCUGCCAAAAGGGUUGUUCCCAACUACUGUCAUUUUAAUGAGAAGUAUGAGGGCAGAUGCAUUCAGGCCAAGGUGAGAGAAUCCUGUUCAUUCAGCUGAGCACAAACCGCUCUUCUCUUGAGUGCUAGUUCAGCCAUGGUCAACAACUUGCAGCAUAACAAUGGAAAAAUGUGGACAGUCGUGAUCGGUCAAGGGCGCUUUUAAAAUAUGUUAUUUUAACAGAAAAUGUGUUUAAACACUUAAGCCUAGUUACUUAACCAGCUUAUUGAAGGUAGUGUGGCACUGACAAAAACGAGCAUGUAGCGUUUUUUCAUCCGCAGCUGUUGUAUAAAGUGUAUAAAUUAGAUUUUCACUAGAAAUACCUGAUUUCUAAAGACAAAGGGAUUAGAGAUUUAAAUGGAGAAAAAAGAUAGUUGGGAUGUUUUAGAAGAUGUAAAUUAAGAAAAAAAAACCCCCGCAAUGCAGUUAUUCACAAAACCUAUAGCACAUAUAAAGAUAAAAGAAAAAUGUCAAACCGCUUAAAAUAUCUGUUCAUUUAAAAUUUAAUGACAACAUGUUUAAAAGGCCAGUUAGGAUCCUUGAAUGUUUUACUACAGAGCCACACUGAUCUGUGCAGAAUGGGGUUUGAUGUUGUGUUGCUAAAAUAACCAAGAUCUUCCAUGAAAAAGAGAUUUUCCUGAUGGGAGCAUUUGUGGUGCCUUUACACAUGUCUAUGUAGCUAAUUCUAUAUGCACUAUUGAUCCCGAUUAUCACAGAUACUGCUUUUAAAUGUUGUGUAGUUUGCAGAACGCAGCAUCCAUGAGUCUCAAAGAGAUGUUCAGAUUUUUCAUAUUUACUGUGAAAAAAUGAGUUUAGUGACAGUGCAAUGUCUCUUUCAAGAUUAUAUUGUCCUUUCAGUUUUAUUUAGGCCUUAUAUAAUCGUCAAAAUCAUUGGAUUAUUGUGAUAUUUUGGCGAUAUACAUUUUACACAGCAUUCCAGUUCCUGGAAAUCAAGGUUGCACAGUGUGUUGUACUGAAAACAGAAAAUAACAGAGUUGUUAUUAACUUUGUAGUAAAGCCUUUCACAAAAACACUGCUUAGCUACGCACAACUGUUCAAGUUUUGACACAGUUGUGCUCUCUGUGCUACCCAAUUUUGUCAAGCUAGCAGAUUUCAAAUUUAAUUCUAUUUUAUUUAUACAGCACCAAAUCACAUCAACAGUCACCUCAAGGCACUUUAUAUUGUAAGGUAAAGACCCUACAAUAAUACAGAGAAAAUUCCAGCAAUCAGAGGACCCCUUUUAAGAAAGCACUUGGUGACAGUGGGAAGAAAAACCUCUCUUUUAACAGGAAGAAAGUGUUAGAGGUGUGUCUACACUUUGUGGGGAGCUGUGAUUGAGUCACCACAGUUUGGUGAUGUGGCAGCUAAUGUUAGCUCAGAGACAGAGAGGAGCUGAGAAAAAUUAAUAA